CAUGGCUAAAACAUGCAAGUCGAACGACUAGCAAUAGAAGUGGCGAAAGGGCGAGGAAUAGAUUCCCACGUACCCCGAGGUCAGGGAUACCUCAGAGAAAUCUGAGACAAUACCUGAUAAUAUCGGAAACGAUCAAAGGUUUACCACCUUGGGAGCGGGGAAUCUCCUAUCAGCUAGUUGGUGAGGUAACGGCUCACCAAGGCGAAGACGGGUAGCGGGUGUGAGAGCACGGCCCGCCGCAUCGAGACUGAGACACUGCUCGGACUCC
rnacentral:rRNA from 2 species